AGCGAACGCUGGCGGCAGGCCUAAUACAUGCAAGUCGAACGGAUCCUUCGGGAUUAGUGGCGGACGGGUGAGUAACACGUGGGAACGUGCCCUUUGGUUCGGAACAACUCAGGGAAACUUGAGCUAAUACCGGAUAAGCCCUUCGGGGAAGGAUUAUCGCCAUUGGAGCGGCCCGCGUCUGAUUAGCUAGUUGGUGGGGUAAAGGACCUACCAAGGCGACGAUCAGUAGCUGGUCUGAGAGGAUGAUCAGCCACACUGGGACUGAGACACGGCCCAGACUCCUACGGGAGGCAGCAGUAGGGAAUCUUGCGCAAUGGGCGAAAGCCUGACGCAGCCAUGCCGCGUGAAUGAUGAAGGUCUUAGGAUUGUAAAAUUCUUUCAGCGGGGACGAUAAUGACGGUACCCGCAGAAGAAGCCCCGGCUAACUUCGUGCCAGCCGCCGCCGUAAU
rnacentral:rRNA from 1 species